rnacentral:lncRNA from 1 species
UGUCACGCUGCAAAAGGGAGACAAAGCCUCACAAGGAUGAGUCAAGGCUCGGAAAACCUGAGUGUGCCAAACAGAAGCAGCUCCAUCCUUCAGUUUAUUAAAGUGAAGUUUGUGAAUAAUAGCACAGCACAAAAAUCCCCCCAGAGGGUGCAGAUUCCUGAUAGCAAAACAAUGUCUAAUUUUGCAGAUAAGCACAGAUCAAGAUCCAGGGGUAGGAAAUUGCAGGCAUGGGAGGCUGAGGCUGGGAAUGACGCAGGGACUCCAUUCCUGAUAACGGGAGCUCUUUGAAAAGCUCAGGAUUUGUUCUUAGAACCUCUGAAAACGAAACACUGGGGGUCCAGGCUGGAAGGGCUGGAUCUUACAGAGAAAUCCAAAGCCCUGGGUCUACAAAGAGCCCAAAGUGAGAGGUUUUUUAAGCAUCAACCUGAGCUGGCAUUUUAGGAAAUUUUGGUUAUUCCUGAAUUACAGCCCGAGGCAGGGCCACCCACGUGUUCCUGGGUGUUGCCUUGGUGGACCCCAAUCCUUCAGUUUUCUCAAGGAAGGAGGGAAUUCUGACAUAAAUUCUCAUUUCAGGCAGAAGGAGCAAGGUCAUGCUGUAUCAGACUCCAGGCUGCUUCCCUAACUCUGAAUCCCAAAUAUUCUCUGCUCACUGGGGACAUCCUGCUGCCAGCAUUCCACAAACCAGGAGGAAUUAGCUCCUGAUCAUGGAUAUAAAAAUAAGAAGAUGCUGCUGUCAGUCCUCCCUUCCAAGAUUUUCUGGGAGCUGUCCUGCUUGCCAGCCUGACAAAUCCAAACCUUCCCUGAUACAGAAGCAGCAAAGUGGGAUCCAGUUUCCUGCCUGGAGAUGGCUCCAGCAUGGACACCUGUGUGUGGAUCAGCCAGGAGCACCCUGCAGAGCCAAGGAAAACCCUUGGGGACCCCAAAUCCACGGGAGCUGUGAGCAGCUGGGAAGAACCAGAUUCCCAAUGGCUGUGACUCACCCAUCUGGAAGGAUGGCCAGGAGCAGCUCUGUAUCCAGACAAAACAGGCUUUAUUUGCAGCAGCAGAAGCGGAUUUUGGGUUGGGAUGGAGACAGCCAAGAGGCUGAGCAGAAAAUUUGCUAAAAACAAUAUUUUUUUGCCACCCUUCACUUAUGUGCUUAUUUUUUUUUUGUCAAAAGUGAAAUGUCUUGCUGGAAAGUCUCCAUUAAAGCUGAACUGGGAAAGCUGCCAAGAUCUGGGAUGGGAUCUCAGGUCAAAAAUGUGCUAGGGAGUCAACCUCAAAAACAAGGCUGUGGUGCAGGGGGUUUGCCAUGGAGAGGGAGCUCCGUGCUCCAGUCCCUUCUGGAGGAUCAGGAUUUCAUUGGAGUCUGAUGUCAAUGCCCCAAACACGGGGCAAAGUGUUCUUGUAGUCUGUCACUCACUUAUUAAAAGUUUGCUCCUGGACCAGAGAAACAAUUUUCCCAUGAAUAUUUCAUCAAAACCGAUGUGUUUGGGUGGGAAAAAAAGAAAAAAAUGAAAUGGUGUUUUCUACAAAACAAACACACACUGCAUCCAAAGCAAUUCUGUGCUGCCCACCCCCAUCCUGCAGUGCCCCCCUGGGCCCUGCCAGGCUCCUGGACCUGAGCCCAAGCAGGAGAGCCUGGAACUAAACUGGACAUCGGCUGGAUUGAUAUCCCUGACCUUCCAUUCCUGUCCAUUGCAGGAGGAAGGGAAUUCUGGCAUGAGGAGAUUGAGGGGUGAAUUCUGCAAGGGUGGCUCCAAUCUCAGCCCUGGGACAGGGCCAGCAGCCAGGGCAGGGCUGGAGCUGGGCCAGGGCAGGCUCAGGCUGCAGAGCAGGGCAAGGUUCUUCCCCCAGAGGUGCUGGCACUGCCCAGGCUCCCCAGGGAAUGGGCACGGCCCCGAGGCUGCCAGAGCUCCAGGAGCGUUUGGACAGCGCUGCCAGGGGUGCCCAGGGUGGGAUGUUGGGGGGUCUGGGCAGGGCAGGGCUGGGCUGGGUGAUCCUGGUGGUUCCUUUCCCUCUCAGGAGAUUCCAUUAUUUUAACAUUUCACUGGGAGGAAAAAAAAACCAAACAGCUCUGUUGGAAAAAGAU